CAGGCCGGCCAUGCCCGGAACUGCCGCCCAAGCAGAGGGCCGGAAGCGCUCUGUGAGAGGGGAAGCGAGGGCCGCCAUCUUGGGAGAGGCGGAAAGGCGGCCUCUAGCCUCCAUCGUGGGAAGGUCAAGCCCUGCAGAGCUACUGGAGAGGGAGCUGGGUUCUACUCUGGCUUGUGCCUCAGCUGAAGAGGCAUGAGCUACGUGCUGACUGGCGAAGCCAUCUUCUGCCCAGAUUCAAUUACCAGUGAUUUUUAUAGUGUAACCUGCCCCUUCACCAACAAUCCCUGCAAAACUCCAGCUAUGUUAGCCUGAUCAGUCUGUGCAGUGGAAAUAUGAGUUUGAAUUGCCUGUUAAAGUUGGUAAGCACUCCUGACUACAUGUACUGUUACAUGGGAGGAGAUUUAUCUUCUCCUAAGGGGGGACUGACUUUCAAAACACAAAGUACAGAGCAGUUCCAAUUGCAUGUGUGUUAUUUUGGCACUAACACUGCAGCUAUUUAAAUGAUCCACAGUGACAGCAGAAUUUAUGUUAAAUUGGGAGGAUAAAAUUGGAUUGGAAUUGGAUACUUGUCACUCAGACGUAUCAUUUGUCUCACUAUUUCACACCUUACAGAUGUUAAAUUCCAUGGUACCUAUAGAGUGACUGUUCUUAAUUGAGCAAAAGGCAUGUAAAUGCAUUGUAAUUAAUAUUACAUUAAAGUGGAAUUAAUCAUUUACAUUCAGUUGUGUUUGCAAAGUAGAAAUAAACAUGGAUCUGUGUGUGUUAUUGCACGGCAGAAGUGAGCAUGGACCAUAAGCCGUGUGUAUUCACAGUGUAGUAGCUAUGGGUAAAGUGCACC